GGGAAUGUGGCUCAGAGGUAGAGCGCUUGCCUAGCAUGCACGAAGCCCUGGGUUUGAUUCCUCAGUACCA
rnacentral:tRNA from 1 species